UGUUCCAUUGGAACUACUGACGGCAUUGGGAGAGCCAGUCCUGACAAAAUUCUACCAUCUGGUGGGCAAGAUGUAUGAAACAGGCAAAAUACCCUCAGACUUCAAGAAGAAUAUAAUAAUUCCAAUCCCAAGGAAAGCAGGUGUUGACAGAUGUGAAAAUUACCGAACUAUCAGUUUAGUAAGUCACAGCUGCAAAAUACUAACGCGAAUUCUUUACAGACGAAUGGAAAAACAAGUAGAAGCUGACCUCGGGGAAGAUCAGUUUGGAUUCCGUAGAAAUGUUGGAACACGUGAGGCAACACUGACCCUACGACUUAUCUUAGAAGCUAGAUUAAGGAAGGGCAAACCUAUGUUUCCAGCAUUUGUAGACUUAGAGAAAGCUUUUGACAAUGUUGACUGGAAUACUCUCUUUCAAAUUCUGAAGGUGGCAGGGGUAAAAUACAGGGAGCGAAAGGCUAUUUACAAUUUGUACAUAAACCAGAUGGCAGUUGUAAGAGUCUAGGGACAUGAAAGGGAAGCAGUGGUUGGGAAGUGAAACAUGGACGAUAAAUAGUUUGGACAAGAAGAGAAUAGAAGCCUUCAAAAUGUGGUGCUACAGAAGAAUGCUGAAGAUUAGAUGGGUAGAUCACAUAACUAAUAAGGAAGUACUGAAUAGGAUUGGGGAGAAGAGAAGUUUGUGGCACAACUUGACCAGAAGAAGGGAUCAGUUGGUAGGACAUGUUCUGAGGCAUCAAGGGAUCACCAAUUUAGUAUUGGAGGGCAGCGUGGAGGGUAAAAAUCGUAGAGGGAGACCAAGAGAUGAAUACACUAAGCAGAUUGAGAAGGAUGUAGGUUGCAGUAGGUACUGGGAGUUGAAGAAGCUUGCACAGGAUAGAGUAGCAUGGAGAGCUGCAUCAAACCAGUCUCAGGACUGAAGACCACAACAACAACAAUAAUAAUUAUUAUUAUUAAUCAUGAUACAAGCACUGCAUGCAAUGUGAUAAAUAUUUCAUUCUUACCUGGGAAAUAAUAAGUGACCAAUAGUUCAAGCAGUAUACUGUUUUAACCCAGGAAUGGGCCACAUUGACAUCACUGGACUGUGCUGAUAUAAACUUUUCUCAGGAACACUGCACAGGCUGCAGAGGAUAGGAGUAUUUAUAUAUAAUUGUUUUUGUUACAUCACAUUUGCAGGGUCUUAAAGUGUCAAGCUAACUGAAGCUGUACAGAGGUUUAUUGCAUCUAGCUAUGCCAAUCUGAAGUUAUUUUGGAGAUUUCCAUAUGAUCUAAUUCUCCUUGCUUCCAGCUGCUAGCUCUUCUGACGGUGAGGCCUAGCUAGGAAGUGGCCUGUUCUCUGAAUGCUGUAGAAGAUCUAAAAAAAACUGUGUCUGGACUUCACCAGUGCAAUCUCUGGCUAUAUGCAAUGAAGUAGUUGUCAUGGAGAAGUAAGCAGUGCCACACCAUUACGACUUGAUAGAAUGGUCCUGCGUAAAAAAAGAAAUUGAAACUGCAAAUAAAAAAAUGCAAAAUAUUUGCAAGCGGUUUGACAGUGUAACAUUUGUGAACAUCAGCAAUUUAGGGAAAAGAUUUCACACAACACAUGGUUCUCAUCUAAAUGUACUUGGAAAAAAUGUAAUAGUAACAAAAAUUUUAGGACUUGUAAAUAAAAUCUCAAAUGUGCAGUGUGAUGAUAGAAAAGUCACACCUCUCAUGGACAGGAAGUGUGUGUUACCUGUAGACUCCAAUGUGAAAUCUGCUGUCAGUGAAGCUACACCUCUCCAAGACAAAUGUGAAAUUUUAUUAAUGCAACUGAACACUCCAAAUGUUAAUAAUUCACAGAAAGGCACAGCAGUUAUGGAACAACAAGCACCAGAAAUAAGUGAAACAGCAGCAGCACCAUCAUCAUCAGCAGCAGAACCAACAACGACUGGAGCAGCAACACAGCAAUCCUUAAGAAGGAGCCAAAGGAAAAAUACAUCUGUGUCAUUCAGUGAUAAUUUUUUUGCUUUCAAGCCAAGAAGAAAAUAAAAAUGUGAAAAACCAGCCUGCUAACUCACAGAUAAGUCACAACAACAUCCUAUUUUUAAACAUUCAGGGUCUUGAAAAUAAAGUUGAAAUUCUGGAGGAGUCAUUGCCACAGAAUAAGUAUUCUUUCUUAUGUCUAUCAGAACAUUGGCUUAAACCAGAACAAAUACAAUACUAUGUACCAGAAGGUUAUAAACAUGGAAACAAUUUUUGCAGAUCUCAGUACUGUAAUGGUGGUACUGUUAUCUAUGUUUCAAAUGAAAUAGAGUGUAGAGAACUAGAUCUUAGUUGGGCAUGUGUAGAGAAACACUUUGAAAUUACUGGGCUCAUAUGUGAUAUAAUGAAACUUAUCAUAGUAUGUAUCUACCAUUCCCCUGACUCAGAUGAUAAAACUUUUUUAUAUAUAGUAUAGACAGUGUACUCUGCUACAUAACGAAAUGGAAACAGUAUGUAACUGUAAUUGGGGGAGACUUUAAUUCAAACUUUGAUGUAACAUGUAACAAACCCAGUGUAAAUAAGUUACUGAAUAUGCUAAGGCAGCACAACUUCCAUCAUGUAAAUUCAGAACCAACAAGACAUCGAAAGGGUGCAAAAAAUGGCAGCUCGUUUUGUAUUACCACGUAAUAGGGGAGAGAGUGUGGCAGAUAUGAUACGCGAAUUGGGAUGGAAGUCACUACAGCAAAGACGUUUUUCGUCACGGCGACAUCUUUUUAGGAAAUUUCAGUCACCAACUUUCUCUUCUGAAUGCGAAAAUACAGGGUGAUUCAAAAAGAAUACCACAACUUUAAAAAUGUGUAUUUAAUGAAAGAAACAUAAUAUAACCUUCUGUUAUACAUCAUUACAAAGAGUAUUUAAAAAGGUUUUUUUUUUCACUCAAAAACAAGUUCAGAGAUGUUCAAUAUGGCCCCCUCCAGACACUCGAGCAAUAUCAACCCGAUACUCCAACUCGUUCCACACUCUCUGUAGCAUAUCAGGCGUAACAGUUUGGAUAGCUGUUGUUAUUUCUCGUUUCAAAUCAUCAGUGGUGGCUGGAAGAGGUGGCCGAAACACCAUAUCCUUAACAUACCCCCAUAAGAAAAAAUCGCAGGGGGGUAAGAUCAGGGCUUCUUGGAGGCCAGUGAUGAAGUGCUCUGUCACGGGCUGCCUGGCGGCUGAUCCAUCGCCUCGGGUAUUUGACAUUCAGGUAGUUACGGACAGGUAAGUGGCAAUGUGGUGGCACUCCAUCCUGCUGAAAUAUGAAUCCUUGUGCUUCUUGUUCGAGCUGAAGGAACAGCCAAUUCUCUAACAUCUCCAGAUACUGUAGUCCAGUUACAGUAGCACCUUCGAAGAAAAAGGGACCAAAAACUUUAUUGGCUGAAAUGGCACAGAAAACGUUCACCUUAGGCGAGUCACGUUCAUACUGAGUUGUUUCCCGCGGGUUCUCAGUGCCCCAUAUACAGACAUUGUGACGGUUGACUUUCCCGUUAGUGUGGAAAGUUGCUUCAUUACUAAACACAAUCUUUGAAACGAAAGAUUCAUCUGUUUCCAUUUGAGCAAGGAUAAAAUCACAGAAAUCGAUUCUUUUAAUCUUAUCAGCUGCAGACAGUGCUUGAACCAAUUUCAGAUGAUAAGGUUUCAUAACUAACCUUUUUCGUAGGACUCUCCAUAGAGUUGAUUGUGGAAUUUGCAGCUCUCUGCUAGCUCUGCGAGUCGAUUUUCCUGGGCUGCGAACAAAUGCUUGCUGGAUGCGUGCUACAUUUUCAUCACUCGUUCUCGGCCAUCCAGAACUUUUCCCUUUGCACAAACACCCAUUCUCUGUAAACUGUUUAUACCAAUGUUUAAUACACCACCUAUCAGGAGGUUUAACACCAUACUUCAUUUGAAAUGCACGCUGAACAGCUGUCGUCGAUUCACUUCUGCCGUACUCUAUAACACAAAAAGCUUUCUGUUGAGCAGUCGCCAUCUUAGCAUCAACUGACGCUGACGCCUAGUCAACAGCACCUCAAGCGAACAAAUGUACAACUAAAUGAAACUUUAUAGCUCCCUUAAUUCGCCGACAGAUAGUGCUUAGCUCUGCCUUUUGUCGUUGCAGAGUUUUAAAUUCCUAAAGUGGUGGUAUUCUUUUUGAAUCACCCUGUAUUUUGUUGAGCCCAUCCUACAUAAGUAGGAAUGAUCAUCAAAAUAAAAUACGAGAAAUCAGAGCUUGAACAGAAAGGUUUAGGUGUUCGUUUUUCCCGCAUGCUGUUAGGGAGUGGAAUGGUAGAGAGAUAGUAUGAUUGUGGUUCGAUGAACCCUCUGCCAAGCACUUAAAUGUGAAUUGCAGAGUAGUCAUGUAGAUGUAGACUACAAGUGUGCUUGGAUAAUGCUUUGUCAACUGUGCUCAUGAUAUGUACUCCACCAAGGUAAAGGAAUUUGUUUUCUCAGACCACUCCAUGUUAACAGUAGAGUUAAGACAUUUUAUAAAAGGGGAUGAGAGCAAGGCUGCACAAAAGUUAACAAAAUCUAAUACCUUAAUAUUAACAAAACACAAUCUCAUAAAAGUAACACACCAGCUGAGUAUAACAAACUGGGACAAAUUAUUUCAAAACUGUGAUUCCAGUGACUAAACAGUUUAUGAAACAUUCCACAAUUACUUAACAGGUAUUUUAAAAGCCCAUCUUGUUCAAAAGAAAUACCAUGAAACAAGAAAGGGUAAAUUUUGGUACACCAAAGAACUGGAGAUUCAAAAAAUAAGCUACUGCUGCUGAAGCGCCUUGCAAAGUAAACAAUUCUAAUGAAAUUAAGGAUCUUGGAAAAAUCACUAAGAAACUGUAUAAGAAAGAGUUGCAAUUGGCAAAACAAAGAUACAACACAAAUUUCAUAAGAAAUAGUAAAAACCAAUGCAAAACAGCCUGGUCAGUAAUUAAUACUUUUAAAGGUGAAGUCAGAAACUUCCACAAGACAGUCCCAAUACCAGCAGAUACAUUCAAUAAAUAUUUUGUAAGCUGUGCUGAUGAUAUCAAAAAGCUGAUCAGUAAACCCAAUGUAACAUGUAUAGAUUAUCAUAAGAGAGCAAACCUAAAUCCUAAUAGGACCAGAUCAUCAUUGAAACUCUUCAAAGAGGUACACCAACAUGAAGUUCUUAAAAUAGUCAAAGAAAUGAAAAAUUCAUACAGUACAGAUAUUUUUAAUAUGCCAAACAAUCUAUUGAAAGAAAUCAUACAUUACAUUGCAGCACCAAUAACAAAUUCUAUAAACCUGUGUCUCGCAUAAGGAUUUUUUACUGACCCUCUCAAACUAUCCAAGGUAACUCCAGACCAAUUUCACUAA